AUUGAACGCUGGCGGCAGGCCUAACACAUGCAAGUCGAGCGGAUGAAGGGAGCUUGCUCCUGGAUUCAGCGGCGGACGGGUGAGUAAUGCCUAGGAAUCUGCCUGGUAGUGGGGGAUAACGUCCGGAAACGGGCGCUAAUACCGCAUACGUCCUGAGGGAGAAAGUGGGGGAUCUUCGGACCUCACGCUAUCAGAUGAGCCUAGGUCGGAUUAGCUAGUUGGUGGGGUAAAGGCCUACCAAGGCGACGAUCCGUAACUGGUCUGAGAGGAUGAUCAGUCACACGGAACUGGGAAAACGGCCAGGACCCUUAGGGAGGGAAGAGGGGGGAAAAAUGGAAAAUUGGCGGAAACCCGGAUCCAGCCAGGCCGGUGGUUGGAAGAAGGUCUCCGAAUUGAAAACAACUUUAAGUGGGGAGAAAGGGAGUAAAGUUAAUACUUGGCGGUUUUGACGUUACAACAGAAUAAGCACCGGCUAACUUCGUG
rnacentral:rRNA from 1 species